CAGUAGCCACGGGAAUACGAAGGGGGCUAGCGUUGCUCGGAAUCACUGGGCGUAAAGGGUGCGUAGGCGGGUCUUUAAGUCAGGGGUGAAAUCCUGGAGCUCAACUCCAGAACUGCCUUUGAUACUGAAGAUCUUGAGUAUGGGAGAGGUGAGUCGAACUGCGAGUGUAGAGGUGAAAUUCGUAGAUAUUCGCAAGAACACCAGUGGCGAAGGCGGCUCACUGGCCCAUAACUGACGCUGAGGCACGAAAGCGUGGGGAGCAAACAGGAUUAGAUACCCGGGUAGUCCCUGUCUCUUAUAC
rnacentral:rRNA from 1 species